rnacentral:rRNA from 1 species
ACCUAAGAGAUUAGGUGUUCCCUUCGGGGACAGAAUGACAGGUGGUGCAUGGUUGUCGUCAGCUCGUGUCGUGAGAUGUUGGGUUAAGUCCCGCAACGAGCGCAACCCUUAUUGUCAGUUGCCAGCAUUAAGUUGGGCACUCUGGCAAGACUGCCGGUGACAAACCGGAGGAAGGUGGGGAUGACGUCAAAUCAUCAUGCCCCUUAUGACCUGGGCUACACACGUGCUACAAUGGACGAUACAACGAGUCGCUAGACCGCGAGGUUAAGCUAAUCUCUGAAAGUCGUUCUCAGUUCGGAUUGCAGGCUGCAACUCGCCUGCAUGAAGUCGGAAUCGCUAGUAAUCGCGGAUCAGCAUGCCGCGGUGAAUACGUUCCCGGGUCUUGUACACACCGA